rnacentral:rRNA from 1 species
AGUGAACGCUGGCGGUAGGCCUAACACAUGCAAGUCGAACGAAGUCUUCGGACUUAGUGGCGGACGGGUGAGUAACACGUGGGAACGUGCCUUUAGGUUCGGAAUAACUCAGGGAAACUUGUGCUAAUACCGAAUGUGCCCUUCGGGGGAAAGAUUUAUCGCCUCUAGAGCGGCCCGCGUCUGAUUAGCUAGUUGGUGAGGUAAAGGCUCACCAAGGCGACGAUCAGUAGCUGGUCUGAGAGGAUGAUCAGCCACAUUGGGACUGAGACACGGCCCAAACUCCUACGGGAGGCAGCAGUGGGGAAUCUUGCGCAAUGGGCGAAAGCCUGACGCAGCCAUGCCGCGUGAAUGAUGAAGGUCUUAGGAUUGUAAAAUUCUUUCACCGGGGACGAUAAUGACGGUACCCGGAGAAGAAGCCCCGGCUAACUUCGUGCCAGCCGCCGCGGUAA